ACGGAGGGUGCAAGCGUUGUCCGGAUUUAUUGGGUUUAAAGGGUGCGUAGGCGGCCGAUUAAGUCAGCGGUGAAAGUCUGUGGCUCAACCAUAGAAGCGCCGUUGAUACUGGUUGGCUUGAGUGCCGUAUGGGUACAUGGAAUUGAUGGUGUAGCGGUGAAAUGCAUAGAUACCAUCAGGAACACCGAUAGCGUAGGCAUUGUACUGUGCGGCAACUGACGCUGAGGCACGAAAGCAUGGGUAGCGAACAGGAUUAGAUACCCUGGUAGUCCAUGCCGUAAACGAUGAUCACUCGCUGUUAUGUCCUUGAGGCGUAGCGGCCAAGCGAAAGCGUUAAGUGAUCCACCUGGGGAGUACGCCGGCAACGGUG
rnacentral:rRNA from 1 species